UAGGGAAUAUUGGGCAAUGGGCGCAAGCCUGACCCAGCAACGCCGCGUGAGGGAAGAAGGUUUUCGGAUUGUAAACCUCUGUCCUAUGUGACGAAGGAAGUGACGGUAGCAUAGGAGGAAGCCCCGGCUAACUACGUGCCAGCAGCCGCGGUAACACGUAAGUUGCGAGCGUUGUUCGGAAUUAUUGGGCGUAAAGGGUAUGUAGGCGGUUCUGCAAGUCUGGUGUGAAAUGCCGGGGCUCAACCCCGGAACUGCGUUGGAAACUGCAGGACUUGAAUCGCUGAGGGGCAGCCAGAAUUCCAGGUGUAGGGGUGAAAUCUGUAGAUAUCUGGAAGAAUACCAAUGGCGAAGGCAGGCUGCCAGCAGAUGAUUGACGCUGAGGUACGAAGGUGCGGGGAGCAAACAGGAUUAGAUACCCUGGUAGU
rnacentral:rRNA from 1 species